rnacentral:rRNA from 1 species
AUGAACGCUGGCGGCGUGCCUAAUCCAUGCAAGUCGAGCGGACAGACGAGGAGCUUGCUCCUCUGACGUUAGCGGCGGACGGGUGAGUAACACGUGGAUAACCUACCUAUAAGACUGGGAUAACUUCGGGAAACCGGAGCUAAUACCGGAUAAUAUAUUGAACCGCAUGGUUCAAUAGUGAAAGACGGUUUUGCUGUCACUUAUAGAUGGAUCCGCGCCGCAUUAGCUAGUUGGUAAGGUAACGGCUUACCAAGGCAACGAUGCGUAGCCGACCUGAGAGGGUGAUCGGCCACACUGGAACUGAGACACGGUCCAGACUCCUACGGGAGGCAGCAGUAGGGAAUCUUCCGCAAUGGGCGAAAGCCUGACGGAGCAACGCCGCGUGAGUGAUGAAGGUCUUCGGAUCGUAAAACUCUGUUAUUAGGGAAGAACAAAUGUGUAAGUAACUAUGCACGUCUUGACGGUACCUAAUCAGAAAGCCACGGCUAACUACGUG